rfam:Echinostoma caproni strain Egypt genome assembly, scaffold: ECPE_scaffold0001285
GGAGGCAUAGCUCAGUGGUAGAGCAUUCGACUGCUGAUGGAGAGGGCCCCGGUUCGAACCCGGGUGUCUCCU